rnacentral:misc_RNA from 1 species
GAUGAAGAACGUAGCGAAAUGCGAUAAGUAAUGUGAAUUGCAGAAUCCAGUGAAUCAUCGAAUCUUUGAACGCACAUUGCGCCCGCCAGCAUUCUGGCGGGCAUGCCUGUUCGAGCGUCAUUUCAACCAUCAAGCCCUGUGCUUGUGUUGGAGCCCUGCGGCUGCCGCAGGCUCCCAAACCCAGUGGCGGGCUCGUCGUCGUACCGAGUGCAGUAAACAUACCACGCUCAGGGCACGCGACGGGUGACCGGCCGUAAAACCCCCCCCCUUCUCAAGGUUGACCUCGGAUCAGGUAGGAAUACCCGCUGAACUUAAGCAUAUCAAUAAGCGGAGGA